rnacentral:rRNA from 1 species
UGGGGAAUUUUGGACAAUGGGCGAAAGCCUGAUCCAGCAAUGCCGCGUGUGUGAAGAAGGCCUUCGGGUUGUAAAGCACUUUUGUCCGGAAAGAAAUCCUCUGGGUUAAUACCUCGGGGGGAUGACGGCACCGGAAGAAUAAGCACCGGCUAACUACGUGCCAGCAGCCGCGGUAAUACGUAGGGUGCAAGCGUUAAUCGGAAUUACUGGGCGUAAAGCGUGCGCAGGCGGUUUUGUAAGACGGAUGUGAAAUCCCCGGGCUUAACCUGGGAACUGCAUUCGUGACUGCAAGGCUAGAGUAUGGCAGAGGGGGGUAGAAUUCCACGUGUAGCAGUGAAAUGCGUAGAGAUGUGGAGGAAUACCGAUGGCGAAGGCAGCCCCCUGGGCCAAUACUGACGCUCAUGCACGAAAGCGUGGGGAGCAAACAGGAUUAGAUACCCUGGUAGUCCACGCCCUAAACGAUGUCAACUAGUUGUUGGGGAUUCAUUUCCUUAGUAACGUAGCUAACGCGUGAAGUUGACCGCCUGGGGAGUACGGUCGCAAGAUUAAAACUCAAAGGAAUUGAC